AUUGAACGCUGGCGGCAGGCCUAACACAUGCAAGUCGAGCGAGCGGCGGACGGGUGAGUAAUGUCUGGGGAUCUGCCAGAUAGAGGGGGAUAACUACUGGAAACGGUGGCUAAUACCGCAUACUAUCGGAUGAACCCAUAUGGGAUUAGCUAGUAGGUGUGGUAAAGGCUCACCUAGGCGACGAUCUCUAGCUGGGCUGAGAGGAUGAUCAGCCACACUGGAACUGAGCAACGGCCCAUACUCCUACGGGAGGCAGCAGUGGGGAAUAUUGCACAAUGGGCGCAAGCCUGAUGCAGCCAUGCCGCGUGUAUGAUGAAGGCCUUAGGGUUGUAAAGUUCUUUCGGUAGCGAGGCGUUAACCACAGAAGAAGCACCGGCUAACUCCGUGCCAGCAGCCGCGGUAAUUC
rnacentral:rRNA from 1 species